GUGCCUAACACAUGCAAGUCGAACGAGAAAGUGGAGCAAUCCAUGAGUAAAGUGGCGCACGGGUGAGUAACACGUGACUAACCUACCCUGGAGUGGGGGAUAACUGAGGGAAACCUUAGCUAAUACCGCAUAAUACCUACGGGUCAAAGGAGCAAUUCGCUUUGGGAGGGGGUCGCGGCCGAUUAGUUAGUUGGCGGGGUAAUGGCCCACCAAGACGAUGAUCGGUAUCCGGCCUGAGAGGGCGCACGGACACACUGGAACUGAAACACGGUCCAG
rnacentral:rRNA from 1 species